GGUGUGCGUGGAUGGGGGUGCGGCGUACCUCUUUAAUGUCAAAACGACUCCUGGCAACGGAUAUCUCGGCUCUCGCAUCGAUGAAGAACGUAGCGAAAUGCGAUACUUGGUGUGAAUUGCAGAAUCCCGUGAACCAUCGAGUCUUUGAACGCAAGUUGCGCCCGAAGCCUUCGGGCCGAGGGCACGCCUGCCUGGGCG
rnacentral:rRNA from 1 species